ACCCCUGUAGCUCAGUAGGAUAGAGCAGUACCCUCCUAAGGUAAAGGUCAGCCGUUCGAAUCGGCUCAGGGGUGCCA
rnacentral:tRNA from 1 species